GUUGAACGCUGGCGGCAUGCCUAACACAUGCAAGUCGAGCGGAUAAACGGAGCUUUCUCCUGGAUUCAGCGGCGGACGGGUGAGUAAUGCCUAGGAAUCUGCCUGGUAGUGGGGGAUAACGUCCGGAAACGGGCGCUAAUACCGCAUACGACCAGAUGGUGAAACUUGGGGAUCUUUGGACCUCACCGGAUCAGAUGAGCCUAGUUCGGAUUAGCUAGUUGGUUGGGUAAGGGCCUACCACGGGGACCAUCCGUAACUGGUCUGAGUGGAGGAUCAGUCACACUGGAACUGGGACACGGACCAGACUCCUACGGGAGGGAGCAGUGGGGAAUAUUGGGCAAUGGGCGAAAGCCUGAUCCAGCCAUGGCGCGUGUGUGAAGAAGGUCUUCGGUGUGUAAAGCCCUUUAAGUUGGGAGGAAGCGCAGUAAGUUAAUACCUUGCUGUUUUGACGUUACCAACAGAAUAAGCACCGGCUAACUACGUG
rnacentral:rRNA from 1 species